AUCGAAGGCAAUCACGCAAGUUGAAGAAUAAAAAGGAACCCACUCAAAUUUCUGUAAAGUUUGGUCGGUUCAAGGACACAUUGUUCGCAACUUCAUCAUUUAUUUCUGCAUGUAACCGGCAGGGUUAUCAUAGAAGAGUAAGCUCAUUAUAACUGAACCGGAAGACCUAAUUUAUUUAGAAAAUCAGUGGUGUUACGAUCAAAGGGAAUGAAGCAGAGUUUCCUCGAGUCUUGAAAUCGAGUUUCAAGUUCAAAACCUGCUUUUCUGUUUUCUAUUUCCCGGGGCUUGAGAACAUUAAAUUACCAGGGGCACUUCGGCGAUAUACAUGUCGCCAAGGCCGCCACAUCUUUAUCUCCAUCAUCGGUCCAUCGGAUUCGAAGUAUGACGAUCGUAACACCAUCCUGCCCGCGGUGUGUGUUCUG
rnacentral:misc_RNA from 1 species